rnacentral:rRNA from 1 species
GACGAACGCUGGCGGCGUGCCUAAUACAUGCAAGUAGGACGCAGUUGCGAACGGGUGAGUAAGGCGUAGGUAACUACCUAUUAGAGGGGGAUAACUAUUGGAAACGAUAGCUAAUACCGCAUACUAGUAGAUGGACCUGCGUUGUAUUAGCUAGUAGGUAGGGUAAUGGCCUACCUAGGCAACGAAACAUAGCCGACUGGAGAGGGGGAUCGGCCACACUUGGACGUAGACACGGCCCAGACUCCUACGGUAGGCAGCAGUAGGGAAUCUUCGGCAAGGGGGGGAACCCUGACCGAGCAACUCCGCGGGAUUGAAGAAGGUUUUCGGAUCGGAAAGCUCUGUGGUUAAGGAAGCGGUACUUAACCAGAAAGGGACGGCUAACUCCGUGCCAGCAGCCGCGGUAAUUC